rnacentral:RNase_P_RNA from 1 species
CGGUACAGCUGUGCUAUCGGCUUUCCGGCAACGGAAGGCAGGAAAGUCCGGACAGCACAGGGCAACGCACCACCUAACGGGUGGGUGCCCCGUUACGGCGGGGUAACAGACAGUGCCACAGAAAAUAACCGCCCGCUUCGGCGGGUAAGGGUGAAAAUGUGGGGUAAGCGCCCACGGCUGUGCCAGGCAACUGGUAUGGCGGGUAAACCUUGCGUGCUGAAAUGCCAUGUAAACGGUCGUUCGAGGGCGGCCCGUCCGAUGACCGAGGGUAGGCAGAUACAGGCGUUCAGUGAUGGGCGUCGCAGAUAAAUGAUAGCAGUUCCGGUGCAAACCGGGAUACAGAAUCCGGCUUAUAAGCUGUGCCGGGUG